ACUGUUUACAUAUAAAUUCCUGAGAUGUAUUAUAACAUCAAUUUGGAGCUUUCUGUUUUUGUAGAACCUGCAUACACACACACACAAAGAGCACCAGUGUGCAUGGACACACAGGAUGAAUGGGAAAUAGUUUUGUUAUUGUACUUUUGAUGUAAAGUGACUUUCUAGACAUAAAAUGUCACUUUUUUCACCUUAUUACACUGUAACAUCAACUUUUACAUUUUAAUGUAAACAAUCAUAUUUCGUAAUAUUUUAGGUCAGAAACAUUUCAUAGUACUAUACUAUGUCUAAAUAUGUGAAAAGAAUCAAAUUGGAGUAGGUCGGGCAACUGAUUAUACGAGGUUGUUAGAAAAACCACUUUCCUUUGCUCCUAGCGCCUUCUCGUUCGCUGUAUAGCGUUUUGAGCGGAUAAAGAGCACAAGUGUGUAAGGGGACACAGGAUGAAUGGGAACUAGUUUUGUUAUUGUACUUUUGAUGAAAACUGACUUUCUAGACAUAAAAUGUCACUUUUUUCACCUUAUCACACUGUAACAUCAACUUUUACAUUUUAAUGUAAACAAUCAUAUUUCGUAAUAUUUUGGGUCAGAAACAUUUCAUAGUACUAUAUUAUGUCUAAAUAUGUGAAAAGAAUCAAAUUGGAGUAGGUCGGGCAACUGAUUAUAUGAGUUUGUUUGAAAAACAACUUUCCUUUGCUCCUAGCGCCUUCUCGUUCGCUGUAUAGCGUUUUGAGCGGAUAAAGAGCACAAGUGUGUAAGGGGACACAGGAUGAAUGGGAACUAGUUUUGUUAUUGUACUUUUGAUGAAAAGUGACUUUCUAGACAUAAAAUGUCACUUUUUUCACCUUAUCACACUGUUACAUCAACUUUUACAUUUUAAUGUAAACAAUCAUAUUUCGUAAUAUUUUGGGUCAGAAACAUUUCAUAGUACUAUAUUAUGUCUAAAUAUGUGAAAAGAAUCAAAUUGGAGUAGGUCGUGCAACUGAUUAUAUGAGUUUGUUCGAAAAACCACUUUCCCUUGGCUCCUAGCGCCUUCUCGUUCACUGUAUAGCGUUUUGAGCGGAUAAAGAGCACAAGUGUGCAUGGAGACACAGGAUGAAUGGGAACAAGUUUUGUUAUUGCACUUUUGAUGAAAAGUGACUUUCUAGACAUAAAAUGUCACUUUUUUCACCUUAUCAUACUUUUUCAUCAACUUUUGCAUUUUAAUGUAAACAAUCAUAUUUCGUAAUAUUUUGGGUCAGAAACAUUUCAUAGUACUAUAUUAUGUCUAAAUAUGUGAAAAGAAUCAAAUUGGAGUAGGUCGGGCAACUGAUUAUAUGAGUUUGUUCGAAAAACCACUUUCCUUGGUCCUAGCGCCUUCUCGUUCACUGUAUAGCGUUUUGAGCGGAUAAAGAGCACAAGUGUGCAUGGAGACACAGGAUGAAUGGGAACAAGUUUUGUUAUUGCACUUUUGAUGAAAAGUGACUUUCUAGACAUAAAAUGUCACUUUUUUCACCUUAUCAUACUUUUUCAUCAACUUUUGCAUUUUAAUGUAAACAAUCAUAUUUCGUAAUAUUUUGGGUCAGAAACAUUUCAUAGUACUAUACUAUGUCUAAAUAUGUGAAAAGAAUCAAAUUGGAGUAGGUCGUUCAACUGAUUAUACGAGUUUGUUAGAAAAACCACUUUCCUUUGCUCCUAGCGCCUUCUCGUUCGCUGUAUAGCGUUUUGAGCGGAUAAAGAGCACAAGUGUGCAUGGAGACACAGGAUGAAUGGGAACUAGUUUUGUUAUUGCACUUUUGAUGAAAAGUGACUGUCUAGACAUAAAAUGUCACUUUUUUCACCUUAUCAUACUUUUUCAUCAACUUUUGCAUUUUAAUGUAAACAAUCAUAUUUCGUAAUAUUUUGG
ensembl:lncRNA